AUUAUUCUAUUCUAUACUUGAAGGAAACAAAUUGAGAAAUUUACUAUAAGGAGACAUAACGGAACGUAGGAAACUGACGACAUUUGGCGCAUGUUCCCAAUUAUGGAGACUAGAAAUUUUUCCCGCGCCUUGCUGCGGAGUUUGUUUUUGUAAAUGAAUUAGAACAACGAAAUAGAAAAGGAACAUUGUUACAUAUUAUUGAAGUAGUCAAACAGUGUUUAUACACAUUACAUUUUAGUUGAAGCUUGUUCAACUGGAACUGGUGCAAAAAUGCUAGUUUUAUAGAAGGGUUAUUAGCUAAUCUAGCAAAGGUUGUUGCUGGAGCUUGUUCAAAAAGGUCAUCGCUCCCAAAAUGCUCUAGCUGGGAAACUUCUAUCUACCCUAGAAACUUCUACCUCAUAUCUCCAAUUUCCCAAAAAAUGAUCUAUCCCUGUUCAGUUGGUUUGUUAUCUAUCUAGCUAAUAAACUUUGCUCUUUUUUUUUUUUUUUUUUUUUUUCUGUAUCUUCUUGAUCCCAACAGCUUUGAUUCACUUUUGGUUUAAAUCUAGACAAAUAUAAUGAAAAUGAUGUCCUUUUCACUUUCUACCAUUCCUUGUAAAAAUUUAUAAAGAUGGAAAGAUAGUACUACCAUCCAAAGAGGCAAAGAUACUACCACCAGAGAUCCUCUAAGAAACAAUACAAAUCACAACAUCACACAAAUUGAAUAGAAGGUACAAUACACAAUAUAAAGCAGGUAUGUCAAUAUGGUUAGAUGAAGAGACUAAAGCCUAAUGUAACAAAUGAAAAGAGCUAAUCAUUCUGGACUUCAUGUGGUUUGUUGGUUGUUUUGGAGUUAUGAUUACUGUAUGGCAUGAGAAAAAAUUUGAUUUAUAGCUAGCAUAACCGUAGUGUUUUAAAAACUGCAGAUAACUAAGCCUAAUAACCUAAAAGACUCUCAAAUCAAAAGUAACAAAAAUAUACUCAAAACUAACUUGCUAUUAUUAUGAUUAUUAUUAUAAAUGCAUCAAACAACACCUACAAUAGACUUAAGACUAACAAAGCUUAGAAACUUUGGCUUUUCUCAUUUUUAAACUCCAAAGCCCGGUCUGCAUCCAUCUGCGCUCAGAUCAGAAUCUACGAAACCUGCAGACGCUAUCCUAACCCGGACUCUAGUUUCUGGUAGUACCUGAGCUUCUCGAGGUGUUCAUUGCUGAGAAACCGGCCAGUUGGUGGAGAAGUAGCUAUUGAAGAAGAGAAGAAAGAAGAGAAAGGGGAGAGACAACAUAUUUUGUACUUCCUUAGGAAAAUCGUUUUUUUUUAUUUAAUCUCUGUCUCCCACUAUUUUUGUCCACUACCACUACCACGCCACAUUCUUUCACUACCACCAAUAUUUUAAUCCCACUUUCAUUUUGUUUAUUUUGCACGCCAUCCACCAUCACCAGAAUUAUACACAGCUCUCUCUCUCUCUCAUAUUUAGCCAUGGUUGGCGACGGAAACCCCACAACAAAUCCUUCCACCUCCAUCAUCUGCAUCGUCAACCCCACCAAUCGUUCAUGUUCAGUAUCACAGCGACAAUUCACCAUUCCCUACCGGCGUCAUCCUAGAUGAAACCAAUUAUUCCCUUUGAUCUCAAGUCAUGGAGAUGCGAAUUGGUGCGCGCAACAAAGCCGGCUACCUUACCGGCACAGCCAUAAAACCAGCACUCGGAGAUUCCAACUAUGAUACGUGGGUCACUGACAACCACAAAGUCAAAAGUUGGCUUAUUGAUUCAAUGAUUCCAUCACUGAUGCAAAGAUUCAUUCGUCUUGGCACCGCACACGAAAUCUGGAAAGCUGUUUCCAAGACCUUUUAUGAUGGGUCUGAUGAGACCCGAAUUUUUUAGUUGAACCGGAAAUCAUUCACCACUGUAGACCUCUCUCUACAUAUUAUAAUGAAUUGAUUGCUAUUUUUCAAGAAAUUGAUCAGAGGAGCACAACUCAAGAAGACAUGGUGGAAGGAGUUAUUCAGCUCAGCACUUCUAUGAAGAGACUGCGGGUUCAUAUCUUCUUGAGUGGUCUUGAUUCAGACUUUGACCAGGUACGUGGAGAAAUUUUGCGGAAGGAACCAAAGCUGGAUCUUGAAAGCAGUUAUGCCUAUGUGCAUGCGUAUGGUGGAGCAACAAAAGAAGACUAUGGGAACUUCUUCAGUGAAUACAGAAAGUACAGUUAUGGCUGUCAAUAGACUUAACCUGGAGGGCUCCGCUGCAAUUACCAAUCGUCCUAGACAAGGUCCACCUCCUGGAUUCCCACAAACAAAACCUGGAGCUUCUCAACAAAGUUUUCAGCCUCGUAAUAGCUUUUCCAUCCGACCCGGUGGUUUGGUGUGUCAUCAUUGUGGGGAAGCUGGUAACUCUAAGUCGAAAUGUUAUGAAAUUGUGGGUUAUCCAGAAUGGUGGGAUUUCACCAACAGCCUCGAAAGAACAUUAAAGGCAAAGCUGCAGUUGCAACUACGGAAACAUCUAAAAAAACAGAUACUCGCUCGCUGCCACAAGCAAAUGUGACUCAAACAGGUAACCUUGGUAGGUCUCUCAAUGUUAAUGCUGGUGCUAGUAAUACUACAUGGAUAAUUGAUACAGGUGCAUCCGACCACAUGACUAAUGACCCAAAUCUACUCCAAUUCAUCAAACCAUCCACUCAAGCCAUUAUCUCUACUGCAGAUGGUAGUCCUUCUCCAGUCACUGGAGAGGGUUAUGCAAUUUUAUCUCCUUCCUUAACCUUGGAUACUGUUCUUAAUUAUUGUCCCAUCUUUAGCUUAUAGCUUAUUAUCUGUCGGCCAAAUCACUGCGACCCUAUCCUGUCUAGUAAUUUUUUGGCCUGCAUUUUGUAUAUUUCAGGACAUCCUAACCCGGAAGAUUCUUGGCUUUGGUGUUAGAAGGGGCAAUUUGUACUACCUCGACUUAACAGACAAGGGAAAUCAGAAAUUGGGACAAGCACACAAGGCCGGGGGAGUAGAAGAUGCAAAAGCAGCAGUAUGGUUAUGGCAUCGUCGUUUGGGUCAUUUGUUGUUUGGAUAUCUUCGAAAGUUGAAGCCUCAUUUGUUUUCAAUUGUGAGUGAUUCUGAUUUUAAGUGUCAUAUUUGUGAACUGGCCAAAAGCCACCGUAUUUCGUAUUCACCAAGUUUUAAUAAAAGUUCAAUUCCAUUCAUGACUGUCCACUCUGAUGUUUGGGGACCGGCUAAAUAUUCUACUAUGUCAGGUGCUAAAUACUUUGUUACUUUUAUUGAUGAGUGCACCCGGAUGACAUGGGUAAUGUUGAUGAAGAAUAAGUGGGAAUUAUGUCAGGCGUUUCAAGCCUUUCACAAGAUGGUUUCUAGCCAGUACUAGAGAAAGAUUCAGGUCCUUCAGUCAGAUAAUGGGGGUGAGUAUACGAGUAAUGCCAUGGCAGAGUUUUGCCAGUCUCAAGGCAUUCGCCAUCAAACUUCUUGUGCUUACACUCCGCAGCAAAAAUGGUCUAGCAGAACGAAAGAAUCGUCAGUUGUUAGAAGUUCUUCGUGCUUCUCUCUUUGGAAUGAAUGUGCCUCGUGAAUAUUGGGGUGAAGCAUUGAAGUCCGCAACAUAUCUCAUUAACCGAACUCCUUCUAGUGUAAUUAAUUUUGAGACUCCUCAACAAAAGUUAGGUAGAUUGAUCUCUGCUCCUACUUUACCUAAUUUGGAACCUCGAGUCUUCGGGUGCGUAGCAUAUGUACACAUUCCUAAACAUCUAUGGCACAAACUUGAUCCAUGUGCCGAGAGUAUAUGUUUGUGGGUUAUGCGGAGUUUAAAAAGGGGUAUCGGUGUUAUGAUCCUUAGACGAAGACUCUCCAUGUCUCUUUGGAUGUAUCUUUUCAUGAAAAUGAGGCUUACUUUACAGGCAAAUCUCAUGAGCCUUCUCUUCAGGGGGAGAAAAGGUAUAUUGAAGAGAAUUCUCAGGAUAUUUUUUCUGAAAUCGAAGAGGUGGAGGAAAGAUUGGUACAACAGGUUCUUUUCAACCCUUCAAAGGAAGGCACUAACUUGUCACAUUCCACUCCAGCUGCUCCUGCCAAUCCAGAGGAAUUUUUUGACCCACCAAAUAUUCUCAACCAGUCGGAUAGGCUAAUGGAACAAACUGAAGAAGAAGCUGAGUUGCCCCCUUCUACACCAAUGCAUGAACAUACUUCCCGGGAGACUCACCCACAGGUAAACCCUUGUCAAGAAGUAGUUUUGCAUAAUUCCAUAGAGUCUAAUCAUUCAUCUACUCCUAUAAGACCUGUUGAUCUUUGGAAUUCCCUUGUUUGUCCUAAGAUCAGGUUCAUACUGUUUCCUUGGAAUUCCCUUGACAGAAACUGGAAUGCUUGAUUGUCAAACAGUUGAGACACCUAUGGAGAUGAAUCACAGACUAGGUGAAUGGAAAGAUCAAGUUCCCACAAAUAAGUCCAGAUUGGGCAGGUUCAAAGGUAGAUAGAAGAUCUACUUCGGGAUACUUUACCUUUGAUGGAGGUAACCUCGUGACAUGGCGAAGUAAGAAGCAGAAAGUGGUUGCAAGAUCUAGUGCUGAAGCAGAGUUCAGAGGCAUGGCACAUGAAGUUUGUGAGCUGCUGUGGAUUAGACAUAUGUUGAAAGAUUUGGGCUUCAAGAGUAGGAAGACAAUGGACUUACAUUGUGAUAACAAGGCUGCAAUUGAAAUAGCACAUAAUCCAGUUCAACCUGACCGUACAAAGCAUGUGGAGGUAGAUUGACACUUCAUUAAGGAAAAUUUGGACCGAAAAAUAAUUCUGUUUCCGUUUGUCCAAUCAGAAGAACAGCUAGCAGAUAUUCUAACCAAAGCAGUUUCAGGGAAAGUAUUUAACAGCUCUCUUGACAAGUUGGGCAUGAUUGACAUCUACGCUCCAACUUGAGGGGGAGUGUUGGAAUGAGCUGUAUUCAACUCCUCAAAAGACAUAAUCAGUGUUACAACCACUUAAAGAACAUAAUCAUUUAGGAUAUUUUUUUUUAUUGUAUGCACUAUUAAUUGUCUUUCAUAUUGUAUUCAAAUAUAGCUGUAUAUAUAGACCUCCUCACGGAGAAGAAUAAAAACACACAAGAAUUAUUCAUAUA